rnacentral:rRNA from 1 species
UACGUAGGGUGCGAGCGUUGUCCGGAAUUAUUGGGCGUAAAGGGCUCGUAGGCGGUCUGUUGCGUCGGGAGUGAAAACUCAGGGCUUAACCCUGAGCCUGCUUCCGAUACGGGCAGACUAGAGGUAUGCAGGGGAGAACGGAAUUCCUGGUGUAGCGGUGAAAUGCGCAGAUAUCAGGAGGAACACCGGUGGCGAAGGCGGUUCUCUGGGCAUUACCUGACGCUGAGGAGCGAAAGUGUGGGGAGCGGACAGG